rnacentral:rRNA from 1 species
UACGUAGGGUGCAAGCGUUGUCCGGAAUUAUUGGGCGUAAAGAGCGUGUAGGCGGCCCGAUUAGUCCGCUGUGAAAGUCCAGGGCUCAACCCUGGAAUGCCGGUGGAUACUAUCGGGCUAGAGUCCGGAAGGGGCGAGUGGAAUUCCUGGUGUAGCAGUGAAAUGCGUAGAGAUCAUGAGGAAGACCAGUGGCGAAGGCGGGUCUCUGGACAGUUCCUGACACUGAGACACGAAGGCCAGGGGAGCAAACGGG